UCCGUUGGUGAACCAGCGGAGGGAUCAUUAGAGAGUGUAAAAGACUCCGUACCCCGUGGACGUGAAAGCACGUUUCAUCCGGGCGGGAGGCUUCCGGCCCCACCGUCACGGUGCAGGACGGUCGCCGACCCCCGGGAAGGCCCCAAACCCGUCUUGAACCAUGCAUCUGAAGUGGCAUACUUGAAUCAGUAAAAACUUUCAACAACGGAUCUCUUGGUUCUGGCAUCGAUGAAGAACGCAGCGAAAUGCGAUAAGUAAUGUGAAUUGCAGAAUUCAGUGAAUCAUCGAAUCUUUGAACGCACAUUGCGCCCGCCAGCAUCCUGGCGGGCAUGCCUGUCCGAGCGUCGGAAGUCCAAUCAAGCCGUAGGCUUGCCGUUGGGAGCCCACCUGGUGGUGGCUCCCCAAAUGCACCGGCGGUGUCGUGGCGACUCUGAGCGUAGUGAAACCCCUCGCUCCUGGGGGACCUGCGGCCCCGGCCGUAAAACGCCCCACCCGAAUCGGUUCGACCUCGGAUCAGGUAGGAAUACCCGCUGAACUUAAGCAUAUCAAUAAGCGGAGGA
rnacentral:rRNA from 1 species